AACGAACGCUGGCGGCGUGCUUAACACAUGCAAGUCGAACGCGAACGAGUUCUUCGGAACUUCAGUAGAGUGGCGCACGGGUGAGUAACGCGUAAGUAAUCUACCCUCGCAUUUGGGAUAACCCACCGAAAGGUGUGCUAAUACCGGAUACGUCUAUUUUAAUAUCUUUUUUAUAGAGAAAGGUGGCCUCUGAUUCAAGCUACUGUGCGGGGAGGAGCUUGCGUACCAUUAGCUAGUUGGUAGGGUAAUGGCCUACCAAGGCAACGAUGGUUAGCGGGUCUGAGAGGAUGAUCCGCCACACUGGAACUGAAACACGGACCAGACUCCUACGGGAGGCAGCAGUGAGGAAUAUUGCGCAAUGGGGGCAACCCUGACGCAGCGACGCCGCGUGGAUGAUGAAGGCCUUCGGGUUGUAAAAUCCUGUCAGAUGGGAAGAAGUGUGAUAUGGUUAAGAGCUGUAUUAUUUGACGGUACCAUCAAAGGAAGCACCGGCUAACUCCGUG
rnacentral:rRNA from 1 species